AUCAAUGUUUCCAUAUGGAGCUGUUAUUGUAGCAAAAGUAGGCCUAUUUGUACAUUUUCUGGAAGGAAGACCUCGAUGGAUCGUCCGCCGCCUGCUGGUUGCAGACAGAGGCCUCACCACCCCAACUCCCCCUCCCUUUCCUUACACCACUCAACCACCUUGUGAGGAGGAGACGCGAUGACCAUGAAAUCCUUAUCUCCCUCACUUCAGCACGGCAGAUAUUGCUUCACAGCGGCACAGCUUUGACAGCAAAGAACAUCAGAGCUGUCAAUCUUUAUCUGCAAUCCAAGCGACAACCUCCGUACCCAAAAUAUGGAGCCCAUGCAGAAGUGUUAUAAACUGCAGUUCAAUAAGCGUCC